rnacentral:rRNA from 1 species
GAUGAACGCUGGCGGCGUGCCUAAUACAUGCAAGUCGAGCGAACGGACGAGAAGCUUGCUUUUCUGAUGUUAGCGGCGGACGGGUGAGUAACACGUGGAUAACCUACCUAUAAGACUGGGAUAACUUCGGGAAACCGGAGCUAAUACCGGAUAAUAUUUUGAACCGCAUGGUUCAAAAGUGAAAGACGGCCUUGCUGUCACUUAUAGAUGGAUCCGCGCUGCAUUAGCUAGUUGGUAAGGUAACGGCUUACCAAGGCAACGAUGCAUAGCCGACCUGAGAGGGUGAACGGCCACACUGGAACUGAGACACGGUCCAGACACCUACGGGAGGCAGCAGUAGGGAAACUUCCGCAAUGGGCGAAAGCCUGACGGAGCAACGCCGCGUGAGUGAUGAAGGUCUUCGGAUCGUAAAACUCUGUUAUUAGGGAAGAACAUAUGUGUAAGGAACUGUGCACAUCUUGACGGUACCUAAUCAGAAAGCCACGGCUAACUACGUG